GUAGUAUGCGUUCCCACAACGUGGAAUACAGAAAUCAAAUUUCAUGAUCUUUGCAUUGCUAAUUUACUAAUCAAAAGCAGGGCAAAAAAAGAGAAGAGAGAGAGAGAAAAAAAAUAGAAUGGCAGAAUCUGUUGCAAAUGUGUUUCUGGAAACCCUUCGUGAUUUGCUGGUCGAAGAAACUAAGUUUCUGCUUAGUGUGAGCGCUGAUGUUGACAAAGUCAAAGCAGAUCUGAGAAGCAUCCAUGCAUUGUUGAUGAAAGCGGACAGAGAGAGACGCGAUUCUCCAACUCUAAAGCUUUACAUUUCCCAACUCAAAGAUCUGGCGGAAAAAGCUGAGAAUCUGCUUGAAACGUAUGCAGUCGAAGUUGAAUCCAAAAGGGAAGGGCGGAGGAGCCUCAAGGAUAAAUUCCGAAGGUACAUUUGCAUCAUGUGUGAGUGCAGCAGUGUCCACGAGGUUGGGAAUGAGGCUCGCGACAUAAUAUCUGCCCUGGCCGACCUCACUAAAAAGUUAGAGUCGGAGUUGGAUCAUCAAGGCUCAUCAUCUCAUUCCAAGCAGGAAGCUGAGCGUCUCUUGAGACAGACGUAUGCUCAUGAGGUUGAGCAUGAUUUUGUGGGCAUGGAGACCGACAUCGAGCUUUUGGUCUCCAAGGUGAAGGAUGAAACCAGAAAGAGACGAGUAGUGAAGAUAUAUGGGAUGGGUGGUCUCGGAAAUACUACUCUCGCCAGAAAGGUGUACAACCACGCAGACCUCCAAUCUUACGCCCGAGCAUGGGUUUGCAUCACCCAACAAUUUGAACAUAAGGCCAUUUUGGGCAAGAUUUUGAAACAACUUGAUUGCAGUGUAACAAAGAUUGAAGACUUGGACGUUGAUAAUUUGGUCACAAGAAUUCAUAGUUUAUUGGUGGAGAGCAAAUGUGUGAUUGUGAUAGAUGAUAUAUGGGAAGAUGUUCAUUGGGAGAUCAUAAAGCAAGCUUUUCCGGUGAAUUGUAAUGUCAUUCUCACCACUCGCUCCCAGAAUAUUGCUAUUCAAGAAUCCGAACCUCACAAGUUGAAGUUUCUUACAGAAGAUGAAGGUUGGGCUUUAUUUCAAAAAGUAGCAAAUUUAUCUCCAGUUGACACGGAUUUAAAAUCUUUAGAAGAUGUCGGACGAGAAAUUGUAUCAAAGUGUGAAGGGUUACCACUAUCAAUUUGUGUUAUUGGAGGAAUUUUGCGCCCAAAAGAAUACGAUUUACCAGAAUGGAAAAAGGUAAAUGCGAACAUGGAAUUAUAUUUAAGGCAUGGAGAAGGUGUUGAAGAAUACAAAAGAGUAAAACAGGUGCUAGAGUUAAGCUAUGAUGCCUUGCCUUAUUACUUGAAGCCAUGCUUCCUCUAUUUAGCAUGUUUUCCCGAGGAUCACAAUAUUGAUUUAGAGAGAUUGUAUCUAUUGUGGAUGGCGGAAGGCUUCAUUUCAUACCAAGAUAAAGGACCUAACGAGACUCUAAGAGAUGUGGCCCAAAGAUAUCUAACUGAACUUGUUAUGAGGUGUAUGGUUCAACUCCAUAAAUCUAAUUCCUACUCUCCACUAAACAAGUUUGAUACAUGUGGGCUUCAUGAUUUGAUGCAUGAUCUCUGCUCUUCUAAAGCUGAAGCUGAAGAAGAAAAGUUUCUGAAGCGCAUUGAUGCUUCUAAAUAUCUAACCGACAUUCUUUCACCAACUCAAACAAGGUUAGUAAUACCUCCAUCCAUUGGCAAUUCCAAAAGCAGAUUAGCCAUCAGUUGUGACUUCGAGCGUGCACUGUCAAGUAUAGAUGGGUUAGAGGAAGUUAAAGGUCUUAGAUCGUUUAUGCUUUUCCAAAAAGAUUUAUUUUUACCAUUCAUUGGCUUCAAAGAGAGUACGAUUGACUUUAAGAUGUCGCAAUACUUGAGGAUAUUUGUGGUAGAAGGUUGUGAGUUUGAAGGGGGAAAGUUACCAAUCAAGGUGGGUGAACUUAUUCAUUUAAGAUACUUGAGUUUGCAUUACUCUAACGUGGGUGAGCUACCAAAGUCUGUAUGCAACAUGCCAUACCUCCAGACCUUAGAUUUGAGAGUCUUGAAUGUUAUUAGAUUGCCAAAUGUGAUUUGUAAGAUGAAAAGACUAAAGCAUCUGUUUCUCUCAGUUUAUAACAUAGAAAUGAUUGAAGGGGAUAAACUGAGACUGGAUGGGCUACACGAGCUGGAGACAUUAGAAUGGAUCAACAGUGAGACAACUUGCAUUGCAGAUAUCCCCAAAUUGAUUAGUCUACAGAGUCUAGAUGUUAGAGUUUGUGAUGAGGAUAGCAUGUCAAUUGUGUUGAGUAAAAAAAAUAGCCAAUUACGUGAGACUCGCCUUGAGGUUGAGUCAUGUGAUCUAAGUUCAGAGAAAGAUAUGGAAGUUUUAAAUGAGGGGUUGAUGUCUCCAUCGUUGGUUACUUUGAAGAUGUCUGGAUGCAAUAUGAGUGGCACUUUUCCAUGCUACACAGAAGGGAUGUGUCAGAAUUUAGUAAUUUUGAAACUAUAUAACUGCAAGGGUAAGGUAGAUGUGGAGGAAUUUGGCAAGUAUCCCAUGUUGCAAGAGCUAACUUUACGGUACUCUGUAAAGAUGGCAGAAACAAUAACUUUCCGUUCAAAUUCAUUUCCACAACUCAAGUGCCUUGGAUUAGGCGAGUUGCAAGAUUUAAAGAAAUGGGAAGUGGAAAAAGGAGCAAUGCCAAAACUUAUUUCCUUGAUCAUCAUGGGGUGCCACAAUUUGGAGAAGGUUCCAGAUGGUUUGAGAUUCUCCUCCUCUCUUCGACGGAUGGAAAUCAUGAAUAUGCCAAGAGAAUUUAUAGAGAGAGUCAAUGGAGAAGAUUAUGGUCCAUUUGUCGAGAAGAAUAUUAUGCUCCGUUCUAUGAGAAGAGUGGUUUUCUAAAGAAGAUUCUUGGUCGUAAGCUGAGAAUGUAGGAGCAAGUGCCUGAUGUUUUUGGAGAUGAUAACUUUCCAGUCCAACAGAGCUAUGAUUCCUAGUGAAGGCUCUCAAGACUUGCUUAUUCGCAUUUUAUUGGCUCGAUUAAUGAUAAGACUUUCUUGAAUUGUGUUUAUGUAAUCUCAUAUUAAUAAUUAGGCUCUCCAGCGCACCUCCACAACCAACACCUGAGCCACCUACAUCGGCUCCAACACAUUCGCACCCCAACCGACAUCCACUUCACAUGUUCCAAGAUUAUGUUUUAUUAUUUCCUUAUAGAGUUAAGUCUAUUUCAAGUCUUGUUAUCGAGUCAGUUAUUUAUUUUCAUCUGAAUUUUCUUUGUGGUUCUUUCUCGGAUCAGAUUAUGAGAGUCGAACAACAUAAGUUUAAGUUUGUUUUUCCAUCAUAUAAGUUGAGAAAUACGAACUUAUCUUUUCAGCCUGUGUCAUAUAUCCUCGUGGUAUUCAAUCAAUUUGUUUUCUUGUA